GCCUUGUUUUCCUUCACUCAGGAUUGCCAGCUCCUUGGUUUUGCUUCAGAAGGACCCAAGAGUCAAGUAAUUCGACAGUCCCAAUACUUGAUGCAUAGGGAUCAGGUUGUGCCACUGUGAAGCUGGGUUGACCCCUUAGAGCGUAUGGUGGAGAUCUUUUCCUUGACUGCACAUGCUUCGGGUAAGGUUUGGAGAAGAGAAGGGGACGUACCAUAGGCAGAAGCUGAAUGAGCUGUAAUCACGAGGGCUAAUGAGUCGUUUGUCUGCACAUGUAAGAGUCUGUGCAUGACCUCGUGUUACUAGGGAAGAAUGGAGUCUUAGAAAUCUGCUGGCAGUCAUUGAGGUCCAGUGUUCACACUUGUUCACGUGUACAGGUGGAUGCAAGUCACACGAGUGUUUGCCAUUGCCCGUUUCUCAAGAACAACCCUUCAAGGUCAAUCUCACCAUUUUGGCUCUACUUAAGCAGUAGGAAAUCACAUCUAAUCCUUUCCCUGCAGCACUUUUGCUGGAAAAAGCCAUUGCUCUAUUGAAAAAUAGCACUUUCCUGAUUAUCAACCAGUGUCUGCAUAUUCUGCUGUCAUCACGCCUUAAUUUGGGGUAGGGGAGGCAACUGGUUUCAAAAUACUUGAUAGUUCUCUCUGUGCCUUCUCUGCUGGAUCUAAUGAUGUAAUUGCAGUGGGCCUUCUGAACUGCAGCACCACCCUUCAGGGAUCAGUCUAAUAACCAGGUAAGCCACAUAUUUCUGACCUACCUGCCCAGCACAUCAGAACUUGUCACCAAAAGGCGGUGACAACCAUAGUGGGCUGGGAGCAACGCCUUCCGACAAGUGCCUCCUGCAGCUUUACCAAUAUCAAAAUGGUUUUCCCCAUGAACAGACGUCACGUGUUGGUUCCUGGCAUUCACCUCCCUAGCUCUAAGAUUUCCAGUUCUAUGCGGUACUUUCAAGAAAUUACUAAAGCUUCAUCCGAGGGCAAAUUUGUGUUUUUAGAAAGCAGUGAAUCAAAGUCGUCUUUCUCCAUCUCUGCACUUGAAUGCUAAAUCCCAGCCCUACAAUGAAUCAUUCCCCACUAAGACACCGCGGAGCAUCGAGCACAAUAGUGUUCGUGUGUGGGAAUGGAAGGCCCUUGAAAUCGCAUUAUGAAACUCACAGUAAUUGAGGGGCUAAAAAUAAAUUUUGCUCGGGUUGCACUUUGAAUGGGCUUGAUAUUUUUCUCUUUCUUUUUAGUCAAUCCUAAUGCAGUUAGUCCUCAGUAAACUCGGCUUUACCCUCUUGCCCUUCGGUGCUCGUUUCUGUCUCUUCUGAUGCAUCACGUAAGCACGUCAUAAUUUCCAGCAUGCAAUUAUCAGUGUUUAUUCUUCUCUCACAGCAGAGCACUACAGGAGCCACGCUACCCCUGGAUACGAUGCAAUACGAGGUGAAGGGAUUAGCAUGAGAUUGUGACAAGAAGAGGAAACAGCACAGCAUAAGCGAUCUCUCCUGAUAAAGAUCUUGUGAGCAGAGAAGAGCAGAGGAAGUGGGACACGUGUGACGAUUCCUAUGACGAUGCGUCAUCUAUAGGAUUGCCUUAAGGGUGACAGAGGUCCACCUGUACUGCAGCUGUAAUCCAUCCAGCAGUGCACAGAUACCAAGUACCAAAGCAUGGAGUGAGAUGGAGCCUCCUCUGAAGGCAGCAGCCUCUCCAGACACCCUGCCAAGCUGAGCCUGGACUUUGGAGGCCUCCAGGUACCAUACUGGGAGGACACCAGGCAUGGAGAGAGCUUUGACAUCAUGAGGCCACGGUAUUCAGGAAGACACUUUCAAAGAUUUGCCAUUGAAAAUUGCAAAAGGAACAUCAUUAUCAGCUUCUGACUGCAGCAACCAGAUACCAGACCAACUCUUUCUUCCUCCUUCCAUGAAAAGGACAGCAAAGACCAGGCAGCACUGAGAGCAUCUGAGGAGAUAACUUGGCACUACAUAGUGCAGCACGGUUCAUCUCCAUCAUCAAGAAGACCAAUGGGAGCAAACCUGGAGGUAAGAAACACUGCCAAUAACCUAACGUAAAACGUAUCCCUCUCCCUACUCUCCCCCAUCCAUCCCCAAAUACCAGUUUCAGAUAAAAAGCAAAACUUUGCAGGUGACUUCAGACCCAUCCAGUUGAAUGUGUGGAAAUAAUACUGAGCAGAGGGGCAUAACUUUUUAAAUUGGUGUAUCCCCCCUCCAGCACACCUGACUCUGAGCUGCUAUGAGAAAGCCAGAGGCGUCUAGGAGCUUGCAGAAAUCUUGCUACUACUCCAAAAUGUUUGCUUGCAUAAUUUAUUUAGCUCAGACAUGCCUCAGUUCAAAGAGAGCAAAGAAAUCACAGAAAUGGGCAGGAGGAAAAUCUUUGCAUGCUGUUUUGCAAAGCUGGAACUUUGCAGUGUGCUACAGGGAUUCAGGACAAAAUCUGCCACGGAUACUACAUUCACACCUUUGCAUUAAUAUUUCAGGUUGGAGAUCUGUUAAAUUUCACUGGUAAUGAAAGCCUACAGAGUCUCCCCACAUGAGUGCUGCAAUCCAUCCAUGUGGAUGGAUGGAUUUCAGUGUUGAGUCCUUUGUGCCAGAGCUUCCCACUGCAUUUCAGACCUGGUUACAGGAAACUUGUCUGAUGGAGGAAAACAAAGUUCUGUUUCCCUUCCCAUUCCUCCUGACUCUAAGCAGCAUCACACCAUGUUCUUCCUGCCUGGCUGACACAAGAGCAAUGCCAGUACGGGCCAGUGCUAAAAGACCAGAUCUCUUAAGGGAUGCAAAGAACUUGGAAACUGUGCUGAUGGACAUCGUAGACACAGAAAGUGUGAGAGCCUGUUUGAAGCCAACAAGAUUGCAGUCAUGGAGUUUCAGGGAAGGGCAUAGCUCCAUUUGACGCCAACCUCUGUCUGUAACAGAAAAUGUUAGCACAGGUUAAACUGAGCAGUUCAUCUUGAUGCUUUACCUGGCAUCCCUCUCCUUGCAGGUGCCCUCUGCACUGACCACGGAGCGGAGUUCAGUGAGAUGGGUUAUGUCAGGAGAAUCUUCAGUCUUACAGUAAGUGAAAACAUCAAGAGAGCAGAAGUUUGCAGUGUCACCCAGACGUGAAACAAGUAGCAUCAGGUUUAACACUGCUGCUGCUUUUAGAAGCCUGGGAAGCCAAUUUCCAGUGUAAGAAACCAUUCCCACCCACUCAGUGCAAAACUCAUCCCCUCUUCAUGGGGUGUAAUCAGAUUAAACAGGUGAGAGAGAGAGCGUAACAGAGAGAGAUUAGGUGUAAAUUCCAAUCAUAACGUAGCUUCAAAAAUAGGAAUCAGGGUUUUUUGCUGCAGGGCUGAGAAGUGCCCCCAGUGAAAAACAGAGUUGAUAUUCAGUCUCGUUGUUUUAUUUACUACUGCAUUUAAGGUGCGCCCAACUAGUUAGCCAGCUACUUACAAAGCAUGUUUAAUGUUUGGAGGCACUCAGUAUGGCUGUAAAACUGUUUUUAAGGGCAUGCAAACACGGCGUGUUAACAGCAUUACACAUACUCUUGUUCCCAAUGGAAAAAACAAAAAGAAUUCCGAGUAGCCUUGGUCUUGCCCUGAGCCUGGGAGACAGGCUGCAGAGCUCACACUGCUUGACUUCCCGGCACUCGAUGGGAGCCACUUAGAGGGAUGAACUGCGGAGAUCAAUAACCCUUACAUGCUAUAAGUGAUGUAGCACCGAGUACUUCAGGGCCGUUAAAAAUCCUGCCAUAAAGGAUGGCUUGCCAGUAGCCCAGAAAUUAAGCAGGAGGGAAUAAAACCCGCACAGUGGCUGUAGGGACGGAAAGUCUCGGAGCACGCGGAGAUGAGAACAGGCGCCGGAGAGAGGCACCCGCCUGCGUGUUUAUCCAUUUAUGAAAAUCAGGAAUCCAGAGGCAAAUACGCUCAGCAGUCCCCCAGUGCAGGUAAUUGAAAGCGAGUGCUGAAAGCAUGAGCUUAUAUGUCAUGCUCCAAGGGUUAAUACUCUUCUGGGGCACUUAAGAUGAAAUCCCUCUGAGUCCACACCGUGUCUCCAGCCUAUCCCUCAACCAUUACUUUGUUUCUUCUUUCCGUAAAUUUUUAUUAUUUAGGACAGAGUGAUUUUUUUCCUAGCAAAUCUCAUGCUGGCUCACCCUUCGCAUAUUAUAUUCAUCAAGAGGCUCUACAGCUUUCUCUGAGGAUCUUUGCUGCUGUUUUUCCUGGUAGUGUGGGGAGGGCUUAGGAGUCCUGGGAGAACCAUUAGUUCCUUUUGAAAGGAUUGAUAUGGACUUGGCCUUCUUCCAGUCCUCCACUGUAGAAACUGUAAUUUAUCAUUAAAAAGCAUACAUUAUAUUUGCGAGCCGUUCAGCUACUUCAUUCUCAGUUCCUUCAACUUUUCUGGACGGGUGCCAUGGAAACCCAAAUGAUUUAUUAUUAUUUAGUGGUUGGGAUUGAACAGGCGCCUCUUUAUUGCCCUCUGUACAUCUCCAUCAGCAGGAGCAGCCCAGUCCGAGCAUCAGGUGCAGGAGAGAUGGUAGGACCAGCAAGCACGACAGGACAGUGUGUUCAACAUCACCUGCUGAAGCCGCUUGGCCUAGGGCUAGGGCAACAAGCUGAGCUGGAGGCUUCGUGU
rnacentral:lncRNA from 1 species